rnacentral:rRNA from 1 species
GCAGUCGAACGAUGAAGCCUUUCGGGGUGGAUUAGUGGCGAACGGGUGAGUAACACGUGGGCAAUCUGCCCUUCACUCUGGGACAAGCCCUGGAAACGGGGUCUAAUACCGGAUAACACUCUGUCCCGCAUGGGACGGGGUUAAAAGCUCCGGCGGUGAAGGAUGAGCCCGCGGCCUAUCAGCUUGUUGGUGGGGUGAUGGCCUACCAAGGCGACGACGGGUAGCCGGCCUGAGAGGGCGACCGGCCACACUGGGACUGAGACACGGCCCAGACUCCUACGGGAGGCAGCAGUGGGGAAUAUUGCACAAUGGGCGAAAGCCUGAUGCAGCGACGCCGCGUGAGGGAUGACGGCCUUCGGGUUGUAAACCUCUUUCAGCAGGGAAGAAGCGAAAGUGACGGUACCUGCAGAAGAAGCGCCGGCUAACUACGUGCCAGCAGCCGCGGUAAUACGUAGGGCGCAAGCGUUGUCCGGAAUUAUUGGGCGUAAAGAGCUCGUAGGCGGCUUGUCACGUCGGAUGUGAAAGCCCGGGGCUUAACCCCGGGUCUGCAUUCGAUACGGGCUAGCUAGAGUGUGGUAGGGGAGAUCGGAAUUCCUGGUGUAGCGGUGAAAUGCGCAGAUAUCAGGAGGAACACCGGUGGCGA